rnacentral:rRNA from 1 species
GCUGGCGGCGUGCCUAAUACAUGCAAGUCGAGCGAACAGAUAAGGAGCUUGCUCCUUUGACGUUAGCGGCGGACGGGUGAGUAACACGUGGGUAACCUACCUAUAAGACUGGAAUAACUCCGGGAAACCGGGGCUAAUGCCGGAUAACAUAUAGAACCGCAUGGUUCUAUAGUGAAAGAUGGUUUUGCUAUCACUUAUAGAUGGACCCGCGCCGUAUUAGCUAGUUGGUAAGGUAAUGGCUUACCAAGGCGACGAUACGUAGCCGACCUGAGAGGGUGAUCGGCCACACUGGAACUGAGACACGGUCCAGACUCCUACGGGAGGCAGCAGUAGGGAAUCUUCCGCAAUGGGCGAAAGCCUGACGGAGCAACGCCGCGUGAGUGAUGAAGGGUUUCGGCUCGUAAAACUCUGUUAUUAGGGAAGAACAUAUGUGUAAGUAACUGUGCACAUCU